rnacentral:tRNA from 1 species
AAAAUGAUAAGCUAAAUAAGCUAUUGGGUUCAUACCCCAAUAAUAGAGAUUUUAAUCCUCUUCAUUUUA